GAUGAAGAACGCAGCGAAAUGCGAUAAGUAAUGCGAAUUGCAGAAUUCCAGUGAGUCAUCGAAUCUUUGAACGCACAUUGCGCCCUUUGGUAUUCCGAAGGGCAUGCCUGUUCGAGCGUCAUUAUCACCCCUCAAGCCCCCGGCUUGGUGUUGGACGGUUUGGUGGAGGCCCCCUCGGGGGCUCCUGCCCCUCCCAAAGACAAUGACGGCGGCCUCGUUGGACCCCCGGUACACUGAGUUCUUCACGGGACACGUAUCGGACACAUGGGUUUACGGGACACGGUCUGCCUCCCCUCAGGGAGAAUCUUUCUAAGGUUGACCUCGGAUCAGGUAGGGAUACCCGCUGAACUUAAGCAUAUCAAUAAGCGGAGGA
rnacentral:misc_RNA from 1 species